UUAUGACUUCGUUUUCGCCUUUUCGGUAACACUUCUCUUUUCUGUUCAUGGCUAACACGUUGAUUGUUAAAUUAUCCGUACAAGUAUAGUUAGUGCUAGUAUAGUUAGUGGUAUAGUUGAUGAAGUAUAAUUAGUGUUGCUGCCGUUUCCUGACGAAAAAACUACAAAAUCGAAGCGCGCAGUAAUACAUGGCUCGAAUUUAAAUCAACAGCUCUUAAGUUUUCAUUAAUUAUUGUUUGGUGUGAUUAUGAAUGAAAGCACAUCACUGCAUAACAUAACGGCAGGAAGUUGCCCGUGGGACGUUGAUACCGGUAACCAGAGCGACAAUGCCACCGAUGACCCACUGGCCUCUCAUGUCGCCCGUUCACAAUAUAUUUUUAUUGUCUGCUAUCCAGUUUUGCUCCUGAUCUGUACUCUUGGGAAUCUCUUGAAUAUUACUGUAUUGAGCAGCAUUAGACCUCCACAGUGUGCCACCGUUUUUCUUAUUGCGCUAGCCGUCGGUGAUCUUCUGACAUUAUGGAUGCAACUUCCGCAGUACAUGUUCAUUCUGAAUCCAGAUAUGUUCACCAUGCAGUACUACUCGUACGAAAAGAUGAACGCGUAUACACAGGGAUGGUACAUUUGGAUGCAGAUGAUGUGGCCUGUAUUUUCCGACUGGAUCCUGAUAGCGUUCUCCGUGGAGCGUGUAAAGGCGUUGUUUAACCCGCUCUCCUAUCACGGUCCACCAGCUGCGCGGCGUGCCCGAAUUGUCAUCCUGUGCAUCCUGCUUUACGCAGCGCUUUCCUGUGUAUAUAAAGCCGUUGUACACUAUUACGUAUUAGCAACGCGUGAUCUCAAAGCGUUUAGCGAAGAUACUCCCAAAGUGAUAAUCCCUGGCCUGCCGGGUUGGUUGCAGAAGUGGAGUGAUAUUAAUGGAUUUUACAAGGCCAAAAUCUUCGGCAGGGAAAUGAUUACAACUGCCGAUUCACCUUCGCAUAAUCGGUUGCCGAUGACUUCGAAUUCCCGUCAGCAUAUUUUUGUUUCGCAUGCUCCAGAAUAUUUUCCGUUAACUGUCUUCUACGAAGGUACCGGAAGCUUGCUGAUCUGCCGCAGACCAUGCAGAAGCAGUUUUGUGUUACACUUUUUAUCGCGAUCUACUUAACUUUAGGUACUUCUAGUGCAUCCUCUAUCUGCGCCUAAUAUGUGUACUUUUACAUCACUAAUAUGAUUAAUGGCAGAAACAGCUCGAUGUAAUAAUUAAUGCCAUACACCUACUCUUAUUUGUGGAAUACAAUGUGUCCGUCGAGGUAAAUCAUCAAACGCAUCAUAGCAGUACAAGAUCAGCCUUGACGGCACCACUUGCUCAAAACAGAACCAGCCGCAAACACAACAGAAAUACGAGUAAAAGUCAUUCGCGAAAAUUUGCACCGGCUUCAGAUCAAACCCGGGUAUCACAGGUUUCCCACAGACAUAACACCUACAAACCUAAAGUUAAUGCAACGGUGUGCUACAUGAUCGGAAACAAAUGUGUCCUCAAGCCUCCCAUCAAUCCAGCUGUCGCUACCGGAGCAGGUGUGGGUUAGCGCAUGAUCGAGCUGUUGUGCAGAAUGCGGCCGGGGCCCGGGUUGAAGAAUGCGGCCGAUGUGCUGCAAGACUGGGCUAACCAUUUUAGAAGAAAAUACGGAGUAUGAUUAUGGAAAGAUCCGAGUACAAUUUUAGCCCGGAGGCUGCCGGAUUCAUUAAGCCGAUACGAUUGUGAUUAGCCAUAAGUCCAUUGAAUAGGUUUGAUAUCAAUAAAUACAACGCCGAUAAUCUAUGCGCAAGCGUGGUUAAACUGUUAAAGUUCCUGUGGUUCCGCAGUCCAGAAUAAAAAAUAGAUUUAGAAUAGGGUACGCGGUGCAAUACGGAUUGACUUGAUCGUUGACAGUUUAAUUAACUGAAAAAUCUUUCGCAAUAAAAUUACUGUACGUAAUACAACAAGAUAAAUUCGUUCAGUCAAUUUCUGAUUCUGUAUAGUUUGGUGUGAUGUUUAUUGUCUUUGCACAAUUCGUUGUAGUAAUUAAUGAUUUAGAAGUAAGCACCAAAAAUAAAGAUCCAGGGAUGAAUUAAUAAUCAGGUGGUUUUUCCAAAGUUGCCGCAGGCCAAUGUAAAGUAACAAAUUCCGUAAUUCCAGAAUGUUUGUUAUGUUUUCACGGCUGCAACUGGUUUGACUCACAAGCACAUUUCAAAUUUGAUACAGCUAGAGAAUGCCAGGUGGGUUAUUUUUCUGGAUUUUUUGCGCGACAUGCCUCUGUAUUUAACCGCAUUCGAUGUCAUGCUGUUCUGUAUUGGUAAAAUAUGAUUAGAAACAUGGGUAGAAAUAUUUUAAGCCGUUCACAAUUGCUGUACCUCGACGCUACGCUUUUGGCGUAGCACUCUCUACAGGAAAUUAACUUGGAUCCAACUUGGUGAUCUAUAACGUUUAGCUAUCCGGAAAACUGAAAAAGCAAGAAUCUUUGAGUUCGCCCGGUAGAGCCGACUGAUACUUUAUCUGCUUACCAUGCAGGAACAUCAUUUCAGAGCAGCCCUUGUUAUCUUCGUUAUAAUAUUGACUUUCCUAGCGUGCAGUAGAAGCGAGCCUAAUAAUAAAGACGGCAAGAAAAAACAACACGUCGGCGCGGACGCCAAAUUAGGAUCGGAAAAGAAAACACCUGUCCAAGGGUAACAGCACGACCGUUCAGCCUAAAACUACUGCACCUGCUGGAAGCAAGAGACACAAGUCAUACACUACACCAAAGUCGACGACAGGAGCUCCUCUGUGCUCGGAAUGCAAUAACUGUCGCGGAUGUAACCCUGGCGCACCAAGCGGGGGCGGACCCGGCUGAUCUUUUAGUAGGCUGAAUACUGGGCUGCUAUGGCACGGUAAAUUUACAAAUAAGUGCAGACAAUUCCUGUGUUUUAUAGGCUGCUGACUAGAAUAUUAAAAGAUGUCAUAAC